GACGAACGCUGGCGGCGUGCUUAACACAUGCAAGUCGAACGGCAGCACGGACUUCGGUCUGGUGGCGAGUGGCGAACGGGUGAGUAAUGUAUCGGAACGUGCCCAGUCGUGGGGGAUAACGUAGUGAAAAUUACGCUAAUACCGCAUACGAUCUAUGGAUGAAAGCGGGGGAUCGCAAGACCUCGCGCGAUUGGAGCGGCCGAUAUCAGAUUAGGUAGUUGGUGGGGUAAAGGCCCACCAAGCCAACGAUCUGUAGCUGGUCUGAGAGGACGACCAGCCACACUGGAACUGAGACACGGUCCAGACUCCUACGGGAGGCAGCAGUGGGGAAUUUUGGACAAUGGGCGAAAGCCUGAUCCAGCCAUUCCGCGUGCAGGAUGAAGGCCCUCGGGUUGCAAACUGCUUUUGUACAGAACGAAAAGGUUUCUACUAAUACUAGGAGCUCAUGACGGUACUGUAAGAAUAAGCACCGGCUAACUACGUGCCAGCCGCCGCAGUAA
rnacentral:rRNA from 1 species